CUACUUAAAAUAAUUCAGGACCACCCCUGUCUGCCCACACUGUUACUCUUGAUGAAUAUCCUUCUAGAUCUCCUUAUGUACACCUGUAGGGAAAUACACAAAUACAAUUUUAUUGAAACAUCAUACUAUACAUAUUGUUCUGUAACUUGACUUUUCCUCCUGCUAAUGAAUAUAUCAUUAACGUCAUUCUGUAACAUCGUCCAACGUCUCUGUGUCCACAAGGUGCGAUCCAUACAGUAUUUUCUAAUGAGUACAGAAUAAGACUGUACCAUACUUCUCUGUAAUCGGACUUUGAUUUUAAAAGGCAUCCAGUUUUUCACUAUUAUAUGUAAAGCUGACAUCAACAUCUUUGUAACUAAAUCUUAAUUAUUUCCUUAGGCUAGAAGUGGAAUUACUGGUCAAAGGGUAUGUAUAUUUUUCUGUCUUUUUGAAUGACGAUGUGUGCUCUGGCCUGCGGUUGCAGAGAGGGCUGGUUUUUCUCGGCCAGGGCUUCUCUGUGGUGGCUGCACGUUGGAAUCACCGAGGGAGCUCUUUGAAACAGUGCUGCCCGGGCCCAGCCCCCAGGUCUGGUUUCCAUGAGCUGGGGCGCGGCCAGGAUUUGUAGUUUUCAAGUCCCCCCAAGAGGUUCUGACGUGCAGCCAACUGGACGGGUAGAAUCAAGUUGUGGUAUUACUUCAUUAUUUUCAUUACAGUUUUCCUUUGGAAUUGUUUCAGACGCUCAGAUUUGGGAGAAGUGGCCCCAGAAAUAAAAGCAUCUGAGAGACGGACCGCGGUGGCCAUUGCAGUGGGAGCACCCGGCCAGCACUCUGUCCCUGUCAGCCUGGCACCCCCGGGGGUCGGAGCCUGGGCCUGUCCAGCAGGAACUAUAGUGAAGAGCUUGGCCCCCCCAGGAGCAAGCCCUUGCCGGCCCCCACGUCUGCUGCUGACUGGUGCUUAUCUGGGCUCCCAGCGAUCUUGGCCUACGGACGUCUAGGGUCCCCUGCCCCACGGUGGUUCCUGCAGUUUGAUAGGCUCACCCUUUGGCCACUUUGUGCCUCCUUGACGUCACCCACCUGUAAUCUGCCCUGUGCGCAUCAGAGCUGUGUCCCAUCCCUACCAAAAGGAGGUCCUGGCUUCUGUGAGUCUGAGGUUUACCCUGUGAUUCCUGCUCACAACUGCUCUCAGAGCUACCUGGAGCCAGGCCCGGGCUCCUCUCUGUCCCGUCAUCUCCUAUAACUCAUAUUUUCUUGGAGGGCAUUUUGGAUUCCUUGGAAAAAAUCCUUCUGAUGUUUUUUCUCCACUUUGAAUAAACUGAUCUUUUGAUGGCUCAACACAGUGGUUUGAUGUGUGUGACUCAUCUGUCCUCCAUGCUCUCGUGAUUUCUCCAACCACUUUCCUGUUUCUCUUCCCUGCUCUUCACAUGUGUUUCCAGAAAUGCCAUCAAAGAAGACUGUUUGAAAGGUCAUGUUUAUCUGCCUCCUGAUAUGGAAAUCAUGAGAGGAGUUAAUCUGAAAAUAUCAGAAUCUUUUCUUGAUUCAUAAUCUUUAAAAAAUAUAAUUUUAAUUUUGGAUUAGAUGGUACUUUUACUUGGAUCAAAAGCCAGAACAAUAAAAAAGUACACACUGAAGUCUUGCUCCCACUGUCCCACGUUUGCAGUCAGGGCUGUAGGGUUUUGAGGUCUUCGUACAUCUGAAUGGCACUAACUGAAAUACACCCUGUAGUAAAGUGUUAGUGUCAAUGGACAUACCCUGAUGCUAGAGUUUGGGCAGAUAACUGUGGACGUGGAAGUCAUGGCCCUUCCCCAGGAGAGGUGCCUCAUUUCCAGGGAUUUCAAAAGCUCUAUGAUAGAAUAAAAAUGAUGUCUGUAGGAGGUCAUCUUGAAAUUGAGCCAAGGAAUUUGCAUUGACUUAUGUUUUAAAUAGUUUCUAACAUCAAAGAUUAAUCUAUAAGUUUCAUGAACUUAUUUAUAUUUUAUUUUUGGAAACUUGAAGUAAAUUCUUUAAGAUACAUGUUCUAGAGCAAAUCAGUGUUUCAUAUGUAGCUGUUACUACUUUGUGUCAUAUUUGGGGCUGGAAAAAAAUGUACACAGGAAAAACUGAAGUUAAAAGCACUAAUAAUAAACAGGAGCCCCCACAUUCUCACUGAGACUUUUUGGUAGAAAGGUCCUAACUUGCUGAUGAAAGUCCUC
rnacentral:lncRNA from 1 species